UGCGUAGGUGGUUUGUUAAGUCAGGUGUGAAAUCCUUGGGCUCAACCUGAGAAUUGCAUUUGAUACUGGCGAACUCGAGUGUGGUAGAGGGUAGUGGAACUCCCGGUGUAGCGGUGAAAUGCGUAGAUAUCGGGAAGAACACCAGUGGCGAAGGCGGCUACCUGGACCAACACUGACACUGAGGCACGAAAGCGUGGGGAGCAAACA
rnacentral:rRNA from 1 species